GACGAACCGUGCAAACGUUGUUCGGAAUCACUGGGCUUAAAGGGCGCGUAGGCGGGUGGUCAAGUCCGGGGUGAAAUCUUUCGGCUCAACCGGAAAAUUGCCUUGGAUACUGACCGUCUUGAGCGGGGUAGGGGCAUGUGGAACUUCCGGUGGAGCGGUGAAAUGCGUUGAUAUCGGAAGGAACGCCGGUGGCGAAAGCGACGUGCUGGACCGGCAUUGACGCUGAGGCGCGAAAGCUAGGGGAGCAAACGGG
rnacentral:rRNA from 1 species